rnacentral:rRNA from 1 species
UACGAAGGUGGCAAGCGUUGUUCGGAUUUACUGGGCGUACAGGGAGCGUAGGCGGUUGGAUAAGCCCUCCGUGAAAUCUCCAGGCUUAACCUGGAAAGUGCAGAGGGGACUGUUCAGCUAGAGGAUGGGAGAGGAGCGCGGAAUUCCCGGUGUAGCGGUGAAAUGCGUAGAGAUCGGGAGGAACACCGGUGGCGAAGGCGGCAUCCUGGACCAAUUCUGACACUGAGGAGCGAAAGCCAGGGGAGCAAACGGG